AUUCACAGCUUUUAUUUUCACCAGAGUGAGAAUUACGUCUUUCACUUCAUUCCUGGAAAACAAACAAAACUUUUUAAAAAUGAAAGCUGUCAUUUAAGCUC